rnacentral:lncRNA from 1 species
GUAAGACUCCAUCUGAAAAAAAAAAAAAAGGCAUGAUUUUAUUUUUUAAAUCACAAAAUGAGAUUUUGUGAGGCUAUAUAUGUCUGGAAGAUCCCACAGGUAAUCACUGGUGCAACCAGGAGUGAAACACAGUCCUGCCUGACUCCCACGCCACCCCUUGGCACAGCCCCUGAAAUGGUGCUUUCCACAAAAUUCGUAUCUGUUGCAUUAUGUUGGGAAAAGGGGUUUGGAUGCAGCUAAACAGGAUUCUUCUUCGCUUCUAUUUUCUUUUCACAAAACUGUUGGAAAAAUAAAAAGAGUGAGAGAAAAGGGAGGUUGUGAAGAAAUGAUGGAAAGCAAUGCAAGUAAUGCAGUACUGAUAUGGUUUGGCUGUGCUCCCACCCAAAUCUCACCUUGAAUUCCCACGUGUUGUGGGAGGGGCCCAGUGGGAGGUAAUUGAAUCAUGGGG